GAUCAUGGCUCAGGAUGAACGCUAGCUACAGGCUUAACACAUGCAAGUCGAGGGGCAGCAUGGUCUUAGCUUGCUAGGGCCGAUGGCGACCGGCGCACGGGUGGGUAACACGUAUCCAACCUGCCGUCUACUCUUGGGCAGCCUUCUGAAAGGAAGAUUAAUACAAGAUGGCAUCAUGAGUCCGCAUGUUCACAUGAUUAAAGGUAUUCCGGUAGACGAUGGGGA
rnacentral:rRNA from 1 species